UAUAUUUUGCCAAAAUUACCAAAUUACCCCUAGGCUUGUAAAAUAAUUUUUAUCACAUUUCUUUACUCCUUGAGUCUAGAUGAACCAUUUUCAUAACUAUAGCAACUCAUAAUUUCAACUAUUUCACACAUUUACAACUCAUUUUAGAACUUAGCAAUCUAGCCCUUUUUAAGGUGUUUUCAUGCAAUUUCUUUCACAAAAGUUGUUUAUUAGACAACUAGGACUCAUAAUCUUCCAUAAAAACACAGCAAACAACACAUUUACUCUCAUGGAAAAACCCUAGACUCUUCAUCAUUUUGCAAAAUAGACCCCUCAUAUGAA
rnacentral:lncRNA from 1 species